ACGGACGCCGCCGCUCUUCGCUGCCGCCGCCACCGCUGCUCCUCGCCGGUUUCUAGUUUCUUGUGGUUUCUUCUGCUUCUGGGUUCAGCUUUGGCUUCUGGGUUCAGCUUUGCUUGCUGCUGUUCUUCCGCUUCUGCUUGCUGUUCUUCUGAUUUUCAAUUUUGUUUAUGGUUCUGAUGAUAAUGAUAAUGACCAUGAUGAUAAUGGUGGUGGUGGUGGGUUCUUCUGAUUUUCAAUUUUGUCAUUGUUGUUGUUGUUAUCCAUUGUUGGCUGUUUUUUUUUUUUCUGGGUUUGUGCAUCUGGUUCUGCUUCCGUUAAUGUUGAAGAAGAAGAGGAGGAAGAAGAUGGGAUGGGAGGGGAGGGUAUUUUCGUCCGAAGGACGAUUUUAAAGCAAACUGAAACCUUGGGGACCAUUUUAGAGCGAAAAAAAGUUGGGGGACGAAAUAAAUUUUCAGCCUCUACUUUGGGGAUCAAAAUCA